UUUUGACUGAGAAGUGAGUCGAGUUGUAGUGGGUUUCUUCCUGAAAGCAGAGGGAAGAAAGACUGUGAGUGAGUCGAGAGGGUCAGUGAGUCGACCGUUUCUGAAAGCAGAGGGUACAGAGACGCGAUUCAGUUAUUCUCCUGAGAACACGAUGAGUCGAGGGUUUUCCGUUCACCGAUUCAGUUCUCCUCCUUCGUUCGUCGAAGUGGAAUCUGUCGUUCUCGAGAAGAAAUGGGGACGGUGACAGUGACCCAAAUCCUGAGGUCCGGUUUGCUUGAAUGUUCAAGAUUUUUCCUUGAGAUAUUUUCUCAAGUGAUAACAGGAGCUCGCGAGUUUUCAUCAUGACCAAGCUGCAGUGAAUUUUGAAAGACACAAAUUUGAAGGUAUAUAACCUAUAUAAUGGUCUAGUUGCUGUCUUUUGGGGGAUCUAUUAAGCUACCUACUAUUUUUAGAGCUUGGCUGAUGAUGUUUUUUUAAUAUUACUUGAGCUAUUUUGAGCUCCAAACUAUGUGUACUUUAAUAAUGCCUGAUGGAUCUAACUGCAACUUGGUCUUUAGAUUACUUUUUUAGAUAUCUGGAGGCAGUAACUUGCCCACAUCAGGAGGCAGUAACUUGGUCAUAUUUACUGAUAUCUUAAAAAUAUCAGAAGGUUUUAAUUACUGGAAGAUUCUUCAAGGUUGACCAAGCAUAAAUGAAUACAUGGUCAUGUAUGUUUGGAGAAAUAGAAGUUCCGGCACAGAUUAUUGCAGAAGGUGUUCUCCGUUGCAAUGCACCCUAUUCAACCACCGCCAAUACCCUUUGACUGAUACUCACCAAACAACUCAACCUACAGCUACGUACAUAAAAAUGGAACAAGAUGAAGGAACUUUCGAAUCUCUUUUCCUUUCCAGUUAUCACUUCAAUCAAACAAGAAAAAAACCCUGCCAAGAAGACUUUUUGCCGAAAGCCCCAUUUAAACAAACAAUGAGCUGCGAAAAAUUUAAUGGACAACUCAUUAGUGCUCAAAAAUAUAUUUAAAACUAGUUUAAAAUUAAUUAAGAUUUCAUUAAUAUUUUUAUGGAUUUAUUGUAACAUAUUUUAUAUUUAAAAAUAUUAAUUUUAAUUUAAGUUGUGCUCAAUUUUUAGGAAGUAAAAUGUAUUUUGACACAAAGAAAGAAGAAAAAAGAAAGAAAGAAUUAUAAUUGAAGAAAUGAUAAAAAAAAUGACAUUUUUGAAGGUGAACUAGGCUCAAACCGAGCCCAAUUAGCCUUUUAUCUGAUCAAUUUCUCUAAUAUCAUUUUCAUUUCAUAAAAUUGAUCUCUUCAAUUUUACUUUAUUUUUAUCUUUAACUUUACUAAUCUAGUCUUUAGUUGUAUUUUGUCUCUCUGUGGAUACGCAUAUAGCUCAUUUACUACUGCGACGACAAGGUGAAUUAUUAGGUGAUAACAGCUUUUGACGCUAUUUCCGGGGAAGUAAUUUUACAUUAAAAGUUUGCAUAGUGAAUUAAAUUUAUUUUUAAAGAAAAAAAAGUAGUAUAGGUUUCUUAAUUUCUCUUUUAUUUUUUUUCUAGUA